rnacentral:rRNA from 1 species
AACAAAAACAUGUCCUUUUGUUUAUUUAUUUAAGGUCUGACCUGCCCACUGAAAUUAUUUUAAGGGCCGCAGUAAUUUGACUGUGCAAAGGUAGCAUAAUCAUUAGUUUUUUAAUUGAAAGCUUGUAUGAAAGGUUGGACGAGGUAAAUUCUGUCUCUAUUUAAUUUAAUAUAGAAUUUAAUUUUUAAGUCAAAAAGCUUAAAUAUUUAUAAAAGACGAGAAGACCCUAUAGAUCUUUAUAUUAUAAUUAAUAAUUUUAAUAUAGAAUUUUUUAUUUAUUAUUAGUUUUAAUAUUUUAUUGGGGUAAUAAAAAGAUUAAAAUAAUUCUUUUUGAAUAUAUUCAUUUAUUUAUGUUUAUAUGAUCCAAUUUUUUUGAUUAGAAGAUUAAGUUACCUUAGGGAUAACAGCGUAAUUUUUUUAGAGAGUUCAUAUCGAUAAAAAAGUUUGCGACCUCGAUGUUG